GAUUUAGUCUCUUGAAGCAAAGUUCUGUGACACUCAGACUCUGAUUAUGAUAGAAGUCAGUGCACUACAGAACUUUGUCUUUGGGGGCUGUAGCAG
ensembl:miRNA